rnacentral:rRNA from 1 species
UACGUAGGCAGCGAGCGUUGUUCGGAAUUACUGGGCGUAAAGAGUGUGUAGGCGGUGCUCUAAGUUCGGUGUGAAAUCUCCUGGCUUAACUGGGAGGGUGCGCCGGAAACUGGGGUGCUCGAGCGUGGGAGAGGAAAGCGGAAUUCCUGGUGUAGCGGUGAAAUGCGCAGAUAUCAGGAGGAACACCGAUGGCGAAGGCAGGUCUCUGGGCCACUACUGACGCUGAGAAGCGAAAGCAUGGGGAGCGAACAGG